AUUGAACGCUGGCGGAAUGCUUUACACAUGCAAGUCGAACGGCAGCACGGACUUCGGUCUGGUGGCGAGUGGCGAACGGGUGAGUAAUGUAUCGGAACGUGCCCAGUCGUGGGGGAUAACGUAGUGAAAAUUACGCUAAUACCGCAUACGAUAUAUGGAUGAAAGCGGGGGAUCGCAAGACCUCGCGCGACUGGAGCGGCCGAUAUCAGAUUAGGUAGUUGGUGGGGUAAAGGCCCACCAAGCCAACGAUCUGUAGCUGGCCUGAGAGGACGACCAGCCACACUGGAACUGAGACACGGUCCAGACUCCUACGGGAGGCAGCAGUGGGGAAUUUUGGACAAUGGGCGAAAGCCUGAUCCAGCCAUUCCGCGUGCAGGAUGAAGGCCCUCGGGUUGUAAACUGCUUUUGUACAGAACGAAAAGGUUUCUACUAAUACUAGGAGCUCAUGACGGUACUGUAAGAAUAAGCACCGGCUAACCACGUGCCAGCAGCCGCGGUAA
rnacentral:rRNA from 1 species